UUUUGUAAGAACAAACGGUCAAAUUUUGAUUUUCUCAGGCUGCAGUUUAGAGCUGCCGAUUAAAAAGCCUCCCUUGAAUCUUUUGUUAAUUCAACCCUGAUCCCAGCCUUCCCCCGACUGAGGGUCCCGGUUCUUUGUCCAUUCCUCAAGGGCCCUACUUUCCCUUUAUAUGUAUUCAUCGCCUGGUUUCUGCAAGCUCGCCUCAUCCUUUGCAGCUCUGCUCUGGUGGGAAGCCCCGAGCUGAGGGCGGGUCUCCGACUCGGACCUCUAUUUUGUUCAUCUGUGGGUUCUGGCACAAGGCAGGGAGUGGAAUGCUGAUUUGCUUGAUUCCAGGGGGAAAUGGUUAUCAAUCAGUUAAUGUCGCCCUGGGUUGCAAAAACCAGACGUGGCUGUGCUCAGCCCUGUUUGUCGUUACCCUGUCGGAAGUGACAGCACGGGAAAGGCGGGCAGCUCCUUGGAUCGCUGAAACUAGGCGCUGUGCUUGCAGAUUGGCUCCCAUAAACCGAGUGAAAGUGUUUCUUGCACAGUGCUGAACAAAACCCUUUGCAAAUGUUACAAGUACAAGAAAAGAAAGAAAGAAAGAAAAAAAGAGGCAAGAUACUUUCAUUCCGAUUUCAGGAUCUCAGAGUCCUGGCAGCCGACCUCAAGUCUCUUGGCCACCAUAAAGCAGUCAUUGAGAGGACACAGCUGCAGGAAGUAGAGGCUAAGGACUAAAUAAAUCCACAGGGCUGGAGGCACAAGUCAUGUAUGUGACCCUAACACAAUACCUUGUGGUUGUGAAUGAAUGGAUUAGCAUCUCAGGGUGCUGUGACAGCUUAUGCAAAAUUAAUUGGUGCCUCAGCCAGUGUUGAGUUUCUAAUGGAAAGAUGCCCACUUCAGACAUACACAAAUACACCAAAGAGACCUCCUUAGUUGAUGAAAUUUCUGCUGGUAUUGUAGGAAGACUAAGGACCAAAUGGAAUGGGAACUGAGCUGUUUACUCUCUUGGCUGAACAUGGGUUCUCUUCAGAUCAGAGUGAUGUACAACAUCCACCGGCCAUAUCCCAGGACCUGAUCCAGUUCUUGCCAGGUUCUGGGUUGUAUUUUAGAGUUGAGGUGGGAGUAUACAGGAUUUGUUUUCCUGUGUCUGUCUUAUUUCAUCAGGCAUACUGUUCUUCAGAUGCAUCCAUGUUGUCAUAAAAAGGAGGAUUUCCUUCUCUUUUAUGGCUGAAUAAUAUACCACUAUAUACGAAAUAAAAAAUAUAUACAAUAGAAUAUAUUGUGUAUAAUAUAUAA